CAGGAUAAACGCUGGCGGCGUGCUUAACACAUGCAAGUCGAACGGAGUAUCCUCGGACGAUGAAGGGCUGCCCGGAGAGAGUCUUGGAAUACUUAGUGGCGGACGGGUGAGUAACGCGUGGGUAACCUGCCUCACACAGGGGGAUAACAGUUGGAAACGACUGUUAAUACCGCAUAAGCGCACAGUACCGCAUGGUACAGUGUGAAAAACUCCGGUGGUGUGAGAUGGACCCGCGUCUGAUUAGCUAGUUGGUGAGGUAACGGCCCACCAAGGCGACGAUCAGUAGCCGGCCUGAGAGGGUGUACGGCCACAUUGGGACUGAGACACGGCCCAAACUCCUACGGGAGGCAGCAGUGGGGAAUAUUGCACAAUGGGGGAAACCCUGAUGCAGCGACGCCGCCGUGAGUGAUGAAGUAUCUCGGUAUGUAAAGCUCUAUCAGCAGGGAAGAUAAUGACGGUACCUGACUAAGAAGCACCGGCUAAAUACGUGCCAGCCGCUGC
rnacentral:rRNA from 1 species